rnacentral:rRNA from 1 species
GUGGGGAAUUUUGGACAAUGGGCGCAAGCCUGAUCCAGCCAUUCCGCGUGCAGGAUGAAGGCCUUCGGGUUGUAAACUGCUUUUGUACGGAACGAAAAGGUUCUCUCUAAUACAGGGGGCUGAUGACGGUACCGUAAGAAUAAGCACCGGCUAACUACGUGCCAGCAGCCGCGGUAAUACGUAGGGUGCAAGCGUUAAUCGGAAUUACUGGGCGUAAAGCGUGCGCAGGCGGUGAUGUAAGACAGAUGUGAAAUCCCCGGGCUCAACCUGGGAACUGCAUUUGUGACUGCAUUGCUGGAGUGCGGCAGAGGGGGAGGGAAUUCCGCGUGUAGCAGUGAAAUGCGUAGAUAUGCGGAGGAACACCGAUGGCGAAGGCAAUCCCCUGGGCCUGCACUGACGCUCAUGCACGAAAGCGUGGGGAGCAAACAGGAUUAGAUACCCUGGUAGUCC